rnacentral:rRNA from 1 species
UACGUAGGUGGCAAGCGUUGUCCGGAGUUAUUGGGCGUAAAGCGCGCGCAGGCGGUGCGGUAAGUCUCUGGUGAAAGCGCUCGGCUUAACUGGGCGAGGGCCGGGGAGACUGCCACGCUGGAGGGGAGCAGAGGCGAGUGGAAUUCCGGGUGUAGUGGUGAAAUGCGUAGAGAUCCGGAAGAACACCAGUGGCGAAGGCGGCUUC